UGGGGGGAGGAGCAGAGGGCUGCCUAGAUGAGGACAGAGUUCAGCAAAUGGAAAACACUGACAUUUUAUAAAAAUAGCAACAGCUGGUUUAAAAAUAGCAUCUGGUGAAAUAAAUGUGCUGUAACUUGUGAAACUCUCUUGGGAACAUUUCCCUUCUCAUCCAGUCCUCCCCUGUUCCCUAUUUCUUCUGUAAAGAGAAAUCCCAAGGCAGAUCCCUCUGUAGAAUGACAGACUAAAUCAGUACUUUGUACAUGGCAGAGAAUGAGUUUUGGCUAUUUUAAUUUAAUUUUAUUUUUAAUGUAUUUAUUUUUGAGACUCCGUGCCAGUGAGGGGGGCAAAUUCCCAUUUUGCUGAGCCUCAUGCCCAGGGAUUGGGAAAGUCAAAUUAGAAGUUUCCUUUUUUUUUCUUUCUUUCUUUAUUCAGUUUUACUGAGUUUAUCUUUGUUUUUUAAAGACCUUCUUUUGCUUUUAUCAAACCAGUUUUGAAUGUUCUUUUCCUGUUCCAACCUCCCCUGUACUGGCCACAAGCAGCCAGACAGAUGGAUUAUAAAUCUUCAACAGAUUUGCAGAUCUGUGAAUCUUAAGAGCAGCAGCUUCCCUUGUGGCUCCUCCAAAGGGAGGUUUUGAGGUGCAGUGGCGUUCUACUGUGUUUCCUACAGAUGAGAAGAGCAUGUUGUGCAAAGAUUAGGCACUGCCCCUUGUGGACUGAAGCUAUCAAGAGUGCAGUGAAAAUGGAAGGGAUGAGUUGGACCAAUGUCUACAUGAAACUUUUUACAGAUUUUCAGUUACCCAGUAAGUGGAAGGCUUAUUUUUUUUAUAUCUGUUUAUUUGUUAAUAACAUGGCUCUCUUCUGUUUCGCCUUAUUGUCUAAUUGGCUUUUCUCCUUUUGGCAAAGGAAGUCUGCUCUCUCCUGCCAUGAGUAAAGCUUUUUACAGACAAUCAGAAGGGAAAAUGCAAAGCAAAUGUCGCCAGAUCCUUCCAAAAGGAAAAUGGCCCUCAGAACGCUGAGAUGUUUGCAGCAACCCCAAGGAAACAAUAAAACAAAUGCCAAGCUGUAUUUAUGGGAACUG
rnacentral:lncRNA from 1 species